rnacentral:rRNA from 1 species
GCGAUUGCUAGGGUGGCCGUCGUCACCGGCGGGAACAAGGGGAUCGGCUUCGAGGUGUGCCGGCAGCUAGCCAGCGAUGGAGAAGUCACGGUGGUACUGACGGCCCGGGACGAGACGAGGGGCACGGAGGCGGUCGAGAAGCUCAGAGCUCUGGGGCUGACUGACGACGACGUCGUCUUCCAUCAGCUGGACAUCACGGACGAGUCGAGCAUCGCCAGCCUAGGCGAUUUCCUAAAGACCCGUUUUGGGAAGCUGGACAUCCUGGUGAACAAUGCUGCAAUCGCUGGGUUGAGAAUCCAAAAAUGCUAUNNNNNNNNNNNNNNNNNNNNNNNNNNNNNNUUCGCUGGCAUGGAUACCAAGCAGAGGCUUGAAUGGAUGAUAAAGACUGUCCGGGAGCCCAUCGACGCCGCAAAGAAAGCCGUGGAGACGAACUACUACGGCACCAAGCAUGUCACCCAAGCUCUGCUCCCUCUGCUGCUGCAAUCUUCCUCUUCGUCACAGGGCAAAAUAGUGUGCGUCUCCUCCGACUAUGGACUGCUCAAGCUUAUCGGCGACGAGGAGGUGCGGCGGGACCUCGACGACAUCGACAACCUGACGGAGGAGAGGGUGGACGAGGUGCUCCACAAGUUCCUGAGCGACUUCGAGGCCGGCGCGCUGGAGGGGCGCGGGUGGCCCGCGGGGUUCUCGGCGUCCAAGGUGACCCUGGUCGCCACGAACGCGUUCGCGAGGAUCAUGGCGAGGAGGCACCCCACGCUGGCGCUGCGCGUCAACUGCGCCGAUCCGGGCUACGUCAAGACGGACAUGACCAUGGGCUCCGGCGUCCUCACGCCCGAGGAGGGAGCGUGCAGCGUGGUCGGGGUGGCGCUGCUGCCGGACGGCGGCCCGACCGGCAAGUACUUCACCAAGGGCCGGGAGGCGUCGUUCGUGUGA